GAAUUCACUAGUGAUUCAGGCCUAACACAUGCAAGUCGAACGGCAGCACGGACUUCGGUCUGGUGGCGAGUGGCGAACGGGUGAGUAAUACAUCGGAACGUGCCCAGUCGUGGGGGAUAACGUAGCGAAAGGUACGCUAAUACCGCAUACGAUCUAAGGAUGAAAGCGGGGGAUCGCAAGACCUCGCGCGAUUGGAGCGGCCGAUGGCAGAUUAGGUAGUUGGUGGGGUAAAGGCUCACCAAGCCGACGAUCUGUAGCUGGUCUGAGAGGACGACCAGCCACACUGGGACUGAGACACGGCCCAGACUCCUACGGGAGGCAGCAGUGGGGAAUUUUGGACAAUGGGCGCAAGCCUGAUCCAGCCAUGCCGCGUGCAGGAUGAAGGCCCUCGGGUUGUAAACUGAUGGGUACGGAACGAAAAGGCUCUGGUUAAUACCUGGGGCUC
rnacentral:rRNA from 1 species